UCCGUAGGUGGCAAGCGUUGUCCGGAUUUACUGGGCGUAAAGAGCGCGCAGGCGGUCGGAUAAGUCGAAUGUGAAAGCCCCCGGCUCAACUGGGGAGGGUCAUUCGAUACUGUUCGACUCGAAGGCAGGGGAGGGAAGUGGAAUUCCCGGUGUAGUGGUGAAAUGCGUAGAUAUCGUUUGGAACGCCAAUGGUGAAAACAGACAGCUGGGAGUGUGCUGACGCUGAGACACGAAAGCCAGGGGAGCGAACGGG
rnacentral:rRNA from 1 species